rnacentral:rRNA from 1 species
UCUGCUCAAUGAAAUUAAUUAAAUAGCCGCAGUAAAUUAACUGUGCUAAGGUAGCAUAAUAAUUAGUUUUUUAAUUAAAAACUAGAAUGAAAGAGAAAAUGAAAAAUUAACUUUUUAAUUAUAAUAAAUAAAUAUAAAUUAAUUUAUAAGUUAAAAAUCUUAUAUAAAAUAAAAAGACAAGAAGACCCUUUAGAAUUUUAUAAAUAAAAAAAUUUAAUAAUUAUAAAUUUGAAUAUUUAUUAAGUUGGGGAGACUAUGAAAUAUUAAAAACUUUCACUUUUUUAAAACAAAAAUAAAUGAAUCUAUAAAUAUCCAGUUAACAGCCGAAUAAAAAACAAAUUACCUAAGGGAUAACAGCGUAAAAUUUCUAAAAAGAUCAAAUUUACAGAAUAAAUUACGACCUCGAUGUUGGAUUAAGAAAAAAUUAUAAAGAAGAAUUUAUAAAAAUUAGGUCUGUUCGACCUUUAAUCUCUU